ACGAGCCACAUGCAGGGAAACUUGCACGUGUGGUUCUGGCCGGGCUUUCCUUCGUAUCUAAU
rfam:Triticum aestivum genome assembly, contig: Triticum_aestivum_CS42_TGACv1_scaffold_513294_6BS